rnacentral:rRNA from 1 species
UACGUAGGGGGCGAGCGUUGUCCGGAUUUAUUGGGCGUAAAGAGCUCGUAGGCGGUUUGGUAAGUCGGGUGUGAAAUCUCCACGCUCAACGUGGAGGGGCCACUCGAUACUGCCAUGACUCGAGUCCGGAAGAGGAGUGUGGAAUUCCUGGUGUAGCGGUGAAAUGACGUAGAGAUAGCGGAGGAACACCGAUGGCGAAGGCAGCCCCUGGGUCGACACUGACGCUCAAGCACGAAA